GAGGGAGGGAGGAAGGAAGGAAGGAAGGAAGCUAAGCAAUAUAACCCUGUGGCAACAUUUGUAAAAGUGACUCUGAGAAGACAGAAAGAUCCUCUAUGAGAGACUGGUGUCCCCAGGAAUUGGCGAGGCCUGCUGAGGAUCAUUUGGGUAAAUGUCAUGGUCACGCGGCCCCAUUCUCUUCGCUGAGCUCCGGAUUUCCGUAGCCAAUUGUCUGCUGGACAUUCCUCCCUGAUACAUCUCACAGGAAACUGACUUUUCUCAAAAAUGAACUCUCCCUACCAAUCUGCACCAUGAAAUUAUUUCAGCAAACAAAAAAUAAUGGUUGCCCAUCACCGCACACUGCGUGUGACUCAGCCAUCACUCACAGGCAAAGAAGGGUGUUCUCUCCUCUCCCUGUCAGUUACUAAUUCUCUGUAAAUGACCAUUUGACAUCCUGGCCGGGGAGGAUUCAGAUCAGAGAUGACUUCCCCACUGCCACAAAGUAUGGUUCUGGGAAGGACAACCAGCCCCAAGGCCACGAAGAUUCUGAAAAAGUUUCUUCUCAUUUGAAGUCCAGUAUUUCCUCGGCCCCAUUUUUCUGUUAAACAAUCCUUUUCCCUUGGAGAUUGCUAAAGCUUAGCUCCAGGGCCAGCCUAAGCUCCAGCAGAACUGGGAGCGUCUCCUGUGUCUACAUAGCUCCCUUCCCUCCUGCCUUCCUACUAUCAAAGGAGAAACAGCGUGUAAUUUGAUUUUUUCCCCUUCUCCUCACUUGCCAUACUGUGUUCUUUGCCUGGGCCUGUGCCUCUCCUUGCAGAGGCUGUGGACAGGAGCACCGAGAGCCACUUCCUGGAGCAUGCUCCCCACCCCCGCAGCCUGUGGCUUCAGCCUCUGCUUCUGCAGACAGCGGUGGAGGAAGUCAGGACUGUCCCUUCUGACCUGAACACCUACCUCCAAGUCCUCCCUGUCGCCACAGAGACCCGGCAAUGCAAGUGAGUCCUGUUUGACCUCGUCAAUCAUCGCAGACUGUAAAGGUGACUCGGAUGCUCAAGAAACGAGCAUACCCAGCAGUGGGCCCCAGACUUCUCGCAGGCCCAGGUCCUCCUGGGUGCACAGAGACCUACCAGACAACGGUCCGGCUGCACUGGUGUUGUGAGAUGCCUGUGUCAGAAGACACUGAGUUCCUCACUCGCCUCCUAUCAUGCCGAUGAUCACAGGAGAAAGAGCAGGGCACAUGCAUGCCAGCAUGCUGAAGGGAGGCCAAAACCCAUGCUUGAAAACCACAGGUCCUGUUCUAGGAGCAGGAGAUAUAUUUAGCCAAGCAGGAUGUUUGUGGGUAAACCAACAUUUUGCUGUAAAUAAAAUUCUGCAAACUCGGGACUUUGAGAAUUGCAGAAGCUUACUUUGCCUGCGUAUUGGCAAGAGAGCUAUUUUCCUAACACAAGCUCACCAUGACCCUCAUUCAGAGAUGCGCUUGACGCCGAGGGUGGUGCCUUUUCGCUAAGGGGUGCUGUCAGGGGAUUGAGUAGGAGCCUGAAGAGCUAGGAGUAUCUUCUCCCUGGGCAGACCAGCAGGCAGACCCUGUCCCUUCACACUACAGUGGCACGUGAUGGGCCCCACUGCCCACCUGGUUCUGGUGUCCAGGCUGAAGUCCUCGUGUGACACUCCAAACUGUUCUGGCAAGGAAGGCUCACGGGUUCUGACCUACACUCUGAAACUGACCAGUAGUGAUAAACUCCGCAUGGACUUCAGCCAUCAUUGCGUACGUAAGAAAUACGUGUUGCACACAGAGUGCUUCUCUACAUUCCCAGGUUUGCCACUCCCCGACUUUUGCUGAAGCAGGUUUCUACUCCAUCAGUCCCACAGAUGUGUUCACAGGGCCAGCACUGAGUGUGGUGCUGGGGAAGGCAUGUGCUUGGAGGCAGCCCUGUGAGAUGGCACAGCCUAGGGGAGGAGUCGUGGUGGGGAAGACCCUGGCCACGCAUGAUAGAGGAAGCGUGGCCACACAGUCUUUGCUGUCCCUGCCACAGCAUGGUGCUGUAAGUCUCCUCCUUCCGAGUCUGUGCAGACUUAUGUGACACAUUUGACCCAACAGAAAUGCAGCAUUUGUGGUGUGUGAAAGUUCCAGACCAGGCCACAGCGAGCUCCGUGGCUUCGGCUGUGUCUCCUGGAGCACUUGCUCUCAGGACCCCCUCUCUCAGAGCCCAGGCACCACGCCGUGAGAGAGCCCCAGCCACAGAGACAGGCUACGUGUAGGUGCUUUCAUCAAAGUGCCACCUGUGCCUCCCCGCAGCAGUGUCAGGCCACCAGCUUGGACAGGCAGCUCCAGCCUCCAGUGGAGGCUUCAGAGGACAGCAUCAAACAGCAUCCACAAAGGAGACCCACCUUGUGAAAAGCGCCUAGCCAAGCCCUGCCCAAAUCCCUGGCCUGUGCAAUUGUGAGCAAAGCAAUUCAAUUUGGAGUGGUUUUAUGCUGCAGUAGGUGACCAAAGCACUAUGGAAGUGAAUAUCAGGAGCCCCUCACUGGGAUGUCAGAAGACAUUCAAGGAAGGUUUCCUGGAAGAUUUAGUACCUCAGGUGGUACAGGAGAAGGUGAGAUGGAGAGAAAGCAACCCCAGUCUGAAGACGCAGUGGUAAGAAAGGGUCAUUCCCCUGGGCAUGUGUGGUCUGCUGGGGGAUGACAGCCGAGGUGAACUUGAAGCAGAGGACACUCAGACAAGCUGCACUCUGAAUCCCGCUACGCUGACCGCAGCACUUGCUGAAGAAGCCGCCUCGCCACGCCCAAGCCCUGCAGAGGGAAGGACUGAGGAAGGCAGCUCAGAGGCCUCAGGCAGCCACAGUGUGCAUGCUUGUCUAUGACUCACAGCUACGACGUGGCCUGUGCUGCUGCAGCUGCUGAUAAGCCUCAAACCUCAUAUACCACUCUCUUCCGAGGAUUUUUUAAAUACACAAAACUGGGAGUGAGAGGGGUAUUUAAUUCCCCUACUAACACAUGUUGGGCGCAGCUGGAGCAGCCAGGCCCACUGUAGCUGGGAAGAUGCGGUGCCUUGAGGUGCAGGCACUGCUCACUGCCACAUGUGAGCACAGGUUCUGAGGGUGAAAGGUCCCUGGUAUCUGGCCAGAGUGUUAGACUCUGGAACAUAAGAAGCCCCCGAGGUGGUGGAGAAGGUCUAGCCAGGCUCCAGACUGGCUUCACAGAGGUAAUGCUUUUUGGUUUGAAAUCCGUAAGAGCGCACUACAACUUCAGGGCAAGCUCCAACAGUGCUUCUCAAACUUUAAUGAGCACCCAAAUCAUCAGGGGGCGCGGGGGCAGUGGGUCGCUUACUAAAAUGAAGAUUCUGCAUCAGGAGGUCUGGGGCGGUGACACGAUUCUGUGUUUCUAACACGUUCCUGGGUGAGGCUGAAGCCACUAGUCCAUGAAGCACACUUUGAGUAGCAAGAAUGUGGAGGAACUGUCCCAGGAUGGGCCAUGAUUUACCUGAAUUCUCACAGUGGCUUAGACAAUGGAGACCUUGUCCACAACUAAAAAAUAAAAAUAAAAUCGAACCACACUCAUUGUUCCAGGAAACAGCAAUAACAUUGGAAAUAAAUCAAAUGGUUUAUUACUGAGAUUGUAUUAUCAGAGCUAUAUAUUAAUUUUUUUUUCUUUCUUUCUUUUUUCCUUUUUUGAGACAGGGUCUCACUCUGUCACCCAGGCUGGAGUGCAGUGGCAUGGUCACUGCUCACUGCAGCCUCGAGUUUUCGGGCUCAGGUGAUCCUCCCACCUCAGCCUCCCGAGUAGCUGGGACUACAGGCAUGCACCACCACAUCCAGCUAAUUUUUUGUACUUUUAGUAGAGAUGAGGUCUUGCCAUGUUGCCCAGGCUGGUCUCAAACUCCUGGGCUCAAGUGAUUCGCCCACCUCAGGCUUUCAAAGUGCUGGGAUUACAGGUGUGAGCUAUACCCCCCCACCCCACCCACCUGUAUAUUCAUUUUCUAUAACUGUGUAACAAAUAAUAAAUUCCUAUUACUGUAUAACAGACUUAAUAGCUUAAAACAACACCCAUUUAUGGUCUCAUAAUUCUGCAGGUCAGAAGUCCAGGCGGGUUU
rnacentral:lncRNA from 1 species